GUGCUGAGGGUGAUCUGGCUGAGACAUCUGUCACCCCAUUGAUCGCCAGGGUUGAUUCGGCUGAUCUGGCUGGCUAGGUGGGUGUCGCCCUUCUCCCUCACAACUCCAUGUGCGUCCUUCUCAAACUGCGCGCUCAGUGGAAGAGGACAGCCUUCCCCAAAUAGAGACGAACCAGUCUUCAGUCAAGGGUGUACAGUAGCUGCGCUCCCCUGCUAGAACCUGCAAACAAGCUCUCAAGGUCCAUUUGUAGGAGAACGUAGGGUAGUCAAGCUUCCAAGACAGUGAUCAUGCUCAUGAGAAUUCCCAGUAUUUUUUGUAUAACUUCAUUU
rnacentral:snRNA from 1 species